GCCGGGCGCGGUGGCACGUGCCUGUAGUCCCAGCUACUCGGGAGGCUGAGGUAGGAGGAUCGCUUGAAUCCAGGAGUUCUGGGCUGUAGUGCGCUAUGCUGAUCGGGUGUCUGCACUAAGUUCAGCGUCAGUAUGGUGACCUCCCGGGAGCGGGGGACCACCAGGUUGCCUAAGGAGGGGUGAACCGGCCCAGGUCGGAAACGGAGCAGGUCAAAACUCCCGUGCUGAUCAGUAGUGGGAUAUACAUAGUGAGACCCUGUCUCUUUAAACAAACAAAAAA
rnacentral:SRP_RNA from 1 species